UACGGAGGGAGCUAGCGUUGUUCGGAAUUACUGGGCGUAAAGCGCACGUAGGCGGCUUUGUAAGCUAGCGGUGAAAGCCCGGAGCUCAACUCCAGAAUUGCCUUUAAGACUGCAUCGCUUGAAUCCGGGAGAGGUGAGUGGAAUUCCGAGUGUAGAGGUGAAAUUCGUAGAUAUUCGGAAGAACACCAGUGGCGAAGGCGGCUCACUGGACCGGUACUGAAGCUGAGGUGCGAAAGCGUGGGGAGCAAACAGG
rnacentral:rRNA from 1 species